rnacentral:tRNA from 1 species
AGUUUUAUAAUUUAAAAAAAAUAUUAAAUUGCAAAUUUAAAUUUAUUUCAAUUUAUGAAUUAAAACUU